rnacentral:rRNA from 1 species
CACGUAGGGCGCAAGCGUUGUUCGGAAUUAUUGGGCGUAAAGGGUGCGUAGGCGGCCUGACAAGUCUGAUGUGAAAUCCCUGGGCUCAACCCAGGGCCUGCAUCGGAAACUGUCGGGCUUGAGUAUGGGAGAGGUGAGUGGAAUUUCCGGUGUAGCGGUGAAAUGCGUAGAUAUCGGAAGGAACACCUGUGGCGAAAGCGGCUCACUGGACCAUUACUGACGCUGAGGCACGAAAGCUAGGGGAGCAAACAGG